CCCAAGGAUGGGGCCGCGGCCGAUCAGGUUGUUGGUGAGGUAAUGGCUCACCAAGCCUUUAACCGGUUCGGGCCGUGGGAGCGGGAGCCCGGAGAUGGGCACUGAGACAAGGGCCCAGGUCCUACGGGGCGCAGCAGUCGCGAAAACUCCGCAAUACGCGAAGGCGUGACGGGGCUAUCCCGAGUGCCGUCCGCUGAGGAUGGCUUUUCCCCAGUGUAGAUAGCUGGGGGAAUAAGGAGAGGGCAAGUCUGGUGUCAGCCGCCGCGGUAAUACCAGCUCUCCGAGUGGUGGGGACGUUUAUUGGGCCUAAAGCAUCCGUAGCCAGCUGAGCAAGUCCCCAGUUAAAUCCAGCGAUUUAAUCGUUGGACUGCUGGGGAUACUGUCCGGCUAGGGGGUGGGAGAGGCCGACGGUAUUCCCGGGGUAGGGGUGAAAUCCUAUAAUCCCGGGAGGACCACCAGUGGCGAAGGCUGUUGGCUAAAACAUGCCCGACGGUGAGGGAUGAAAGCUGGGGGAGCGAACCGGAUUAGAUACCCGGGUAGUCCCAGCUGUAAACGAU
rnacentral:rRNA from 1 species